rnacentral:tRNA from 1 species
GCCUGGGUGGCUCAGUUGGUUGAGCAUCUGACUUUGGCUCAGGUCAUGAGCUCGUGGUUCAUGAGUUCGAGCCCCACAUCGGGCU